rnacentral:lncRNA from 1 species
GCAGGAUGCUGUAGAAAAGGACAGACAUGACAUAGAAAAGUUUGUAUGGUCGAAUCACAAACCAUGGAUUCCUAAGCCUUUGCUAAGCAUGCAUGUGAGAAUGGGUGAUAAAGCAUGUGAAAUGAAGGUGGUUGGAUUCCAGGAAUACAUGCAUCUAGCUGAAAGAAUCAAAAAGCGCUUCCCUCAUCUUAACAGCAUCUGGCUUUCCACUGAGAUGCAGGUACUGAACAUCUUGAGCCUUCCAUGUCUCUUUGGAUUGUCAAUAUAAAGAAAGGGGACUGUGCAAGCUUUCUUUCUUUAUCAUUCUCACAGCAAUAUUUACUCUCAGGAAGUCAUUGACAAAUCAAAAUCGUGCCCUCAUUGGAGAUUCUACUACACAAACGUGACGCGACAAGAAGGGAACACUUUGAUGGCAACUUAUGAAGCCAGCCUUGGCAGGGAAACAAGCACCAACUAUCCCCUGGUUAAUUUUUUGAUGGCUUCUGAAGCUGACUUCUUCAUAGGAGCAUUAGGUUCCACAUGGUGCUUUCUCAUAGAUGGC